GACGAACGCUGGCGGCAUGCCUAAUACAUGCAAGUCGAACGCUGAAGCACUCUGCUUGCAGAGUGCGGAUGAGUGGCGAACGGGUGAGUAACACGUGGGAAAUCUGCCUAAAAGUGGGGGAUAACAUUCGGAAACGGAUGCUAAUACCGCAUACAUUCUUGAACCGCAUGGUUCUUGAAAGAAAGACGGCUCUGCUGUCGCUUUUAGAUGAUCCCGCGGCGUAUUAGUUAGUUGGUGGGUUAAAGGCCUACCAAGACCAUGAUACGUAGCCGACCUGAGAGGGUGAUCGGCCACACUGGGACUGAGACACGGCCCAGACUCCUACGGGAGGCAGCAGUAGGGAAUCUUCCACAAUGGGUGCAAACCUGAUGGAGCAAUGCCGCGUGAAUGAAGAAGGUCUUCGGAUCGUAAAGUUCUGUUAUUAGAGAAGAACAAGUCGAGGAGUAACUGUCUCGACUUUGACGGUACCUAAACAGAAAGUCACGGCUAACUACGUG
rnacentral:rRNA from 1 species